rnacentral:tRNA from 1 species
GCCGAGGUAGCCAAGUGGACUACGGCGCUGGUCUUGAGAUGCCAUUGGCACGAGAGAACCAGUGAUGCUUUGGCAUCGCGCGAGUUCGAAUCUCGCCCUCGGCG